rnacentral:lncRNA from 1 species
AACUUUUUGUCUUUUUUCCAUGGAUAUGCCAUGCAGUGUUUGAUUUUGAAUUUGUUAUUAUUUGACGUUAUAAAUUCUGUUGUGAUGACAGGAUAACGCAUCCUGCCCCUGGGAUCCCUGAACAGUUGAUACAAGAAAUGUUUUACCAUAACAAUGGUGUUUCAAGAGAAGGUCUUGGCCUGUAUAUCAGCCAGAAACUAGUGAACAUCAUGAAUGGGACUGUACAAUAUCUUAGAGAGGCCGAGGGAUCAUCUUUCAUUAUUCUAGUAGAAUUUCCAUUUGCUCGCCAACCACCCGCAGAUGAAAUUGGUCUAAAACUAAAAUAGGCAAAAAUAGAUUGAGGAAGUGAGAGAUGUUUUCUAGCUCGAAGAUUUUACAAUGACUGUUCAAGUGGAUAGAGUCCUUAUUGGGAAAUUGAGACUCUAGUGGCUUCUGCAUUCUAUACCAUUUCUGCUAGUCAAGUUCAAAGGAAUUGUCUAUUUCGUUGAAAUUGAGCAGUGGAUUGAACUUUUUCUGGGCAUGACGUUAAUGAGUGAUUCGUAACUUUCAGUGAUUAACUUGUUGAGGACAGAGUUCGUUUGUCAAAGUCCAAGACGAGUUGAUGCCGGACUUGGAAUUGAAGGCAUUGAAGCAGUAAAAAUGUAGUUUGGUUGUCAUCCCUGGAAAGAAGUUCAACUAAACAAGUCUCGUAUUGAGAUUGAGCAGUGACUGAAUUUGUUGCCAGCCAUGCAGCGUAUGGGAAUUCAUUUGUUCAGAAUUGAGUGUCCAUUAAUGAAGAGCCCAAGUUGAUAGUCUACAUUGGAAUUGGAGCAGUAAAAUGUAUUGGAGUUCCAUCCUUGUUUAAAGAUUCACCUCCGAUUUUGUCAAUUUCAAAUUUUUUUCCACUUUCUGCAUAACUGUCUCGUAAAUUAUAUGUGCUGCAAGAUUUUUGCCCAACAAGUGGCCAGGUGCUAAUUGCUGUUCAUUUAUGGUAAAAAAUGCACACAGUCCAUUUUGGUCUGUGUGUUUGGACAAAACUUGCAGAAAUUUUGUAGUUCUAAUAUUUUUUUAUCAAUUUCUACAAGGUCUAUUUCAUUUGGUUUGGACAAUUGACCAAUUCAGUCGAAAUUAGACCACUCUUACAGGAAGGUUCCUUUUAACUGC